rnacentral:rRNA from 1 species
UACGAAGGGGGCUAGCGUUGCUCGGAAUCGCUGGGCGUAAAGCGCACGUAGGCGGCUUUUUAAGUCAGGGGUGAAAUCCUGGAGCUCAACUCCAGAACUGCCUUUGAUACUGAGAAGCUUGAGUCCGGGAGAGGUGAGUGGAACUGCGAGUGUAGAGGUGAAAUUCGUAGAUAUUCGCAAGAACACCAGUGGCGAAGGCGGCUCACUGGCCCGGUACUGACGCUGAGGUGCGAAAGCGUGGGGAGCAAACAGG